UCGGACCUAAAGGACCAAAGUUCCUCCCUAAUACAUCCUCACCACCUUACACUGCUGUUGUCCUCUAUGCCCCUGAGUUCAAGAAUGGAAAUGAAAGCAAGGAAGUGCUCCAGGGUGAGAAUGUUACUUUAAGCUGUAGUGCUGACAGUAACCCACCCUCAAACAUCAGAUGGAUCUACACAGCUGCUGUGAAUUCAAACGUGACCACUGAGGGACAACAGAAGACUAUCAGUAUCACAGGAAUCACGUCUGCCAAUGCAGGCAUUUACAUUUGUGUUGCUGAGAAUGAAGCUGGGAGAAAUACACGAUUUGUCUCACUGGUGAUAAAAGAUAAAGUUCCUUUGCUAGUCAUUGGAGUGUUGCUCGCUGUAUUUGCCAUUGGCCUCAUCGUCCUCCUGGUCUUUAUUUACUAUAGAAAGAGAAAAAAUUGGCAUUCUUCUUUUGACAUAGUAUCAAUUGCCACAGAUGUCCCUCUGACAGUCAGUAGUAAUGCUUAGGAUAUUUCCCUGCAUUAUGAAAAAUGAAGUAAAAUUUUAAUUGCAUAUGUAAUUUAUGAUUUGUCCUAUAAUAUUGUAUAAAUGUACAUUUAAUUUUUCCAUAAAUUAAUUCCUUGAAUUAAACAACUUCAUAUACCAGAAAACAAAUAGCAGAAAUAUCUAAAAUAACAAGAAGGUUAUGCCUUAGAGUUAAUAAUGUUAUGUAUAUGUCUGCUAAACAGUGCAUGAAACUGCUGUAAAAACAAUUAACAU